UUAUCGUCGAGAAGACACCCUCCGUGUAGCACCAGAAAUCACAUCGCUGCCGCCGCCUGCAUUUCACGCUCGACCCCACUUCCCCCCGUCCCGUUUGAGCUCGACUUGAUUUCUAGCCGCCGCCGUUGUUUCCCGCCUCCGGCCGGAGCCGUGCUCUCCUCCCGUCGGCGGGGAGAAGCCGCUCCCCAGCGGGAUCUCCACCUCUCCGAUCUGGGGAACGACCACGACUUUUCUUGCCCUGCCCUGUGUCUUGUCCGGAAUUCAUCAGUCAGGCCAUCCCCAAACCUCCCCGUUUGACAAAAGAAUCACCAAUUUUGCUGAGGACAAGUUUAAGAGCGAAGGAAUAGAUCUGAGCUCCGAAGGCACACAUGACCGCCGCUGCAGUGUUGUAGUGCAGUGUCUAUGGUCGUCGAAGCGCUAAAGCCCCUAUAUUCAAAGGCCACCAGAUAUACAACUGCACUCUGAAAAUGCCAUUUAUGUCGCUCUAACCGAUGGCAGCCUUUUAUAUGCUCACCCAGAUUCAAGAAUUGAUGAAGUAGGCAUCGUGUUGCCUUUGAUGUCAGUUCGCAAGAAACAUCUUUUCAUAUCCCAUUACACCGUUUGCUUUCUUCGAUAUUACGGAAAGCAAUGAAGAAAUGUUUUGGAGAGGAUGCCAAACAAGAGGAAUGUUCAGCUAUGCAGUCCAGUGAGUUCUUCUCUCAGGUACUUAGAGGUUGUGAGCCUUAUGGGUUUGCUUCAGUUGUGAUGGAGCAUCCUUUAUGAGUGAGAGUAUUUUGUGCACAAGUGCGUGCUGGAAUGUGGCGUAAGAAUGGAGAUGCAGCUAUACUGAGUGCUGAGUAGCUUGAACAGGGCUUGGAGUCAGAUCUGUUUCUGCUUCAGUGAUGUGAUGUAUUAUCUUUGUGAGGACAAUUAUAAAUAUUUGGAACUCGCAGAACAGAAUGAAUGAUACCACUAAUGACAUGGAGUGCGGCCACCAUGAACGAGGAAUAAGAGAAUCUGAUUCAGAGGGUGAAGAGUACGACCAUUUGGUAUGUCCAACAAUUACUUUGUAUUUUCACGCCAUUAUUUUCCAUUGAUUACAAGAAUUAGAAGUGUAUACACUUGAAUGCUACUGAUACAAUUUGGUAUCUGUUACUUAACUUGCAUGCUGCCUGUCGUAUAUGACAUACUAUCAUGGAGCAGGCAUCAAUAAGUUAUGUGACCAUAUGAAUGACUUGCGUGGUGUAAUUAAUUGUUCAUUCUUUUAUUUCGAGACAUAUGAACAAAAUGACAACAAUCUCGUGCUUGGAAGCCUGAUAUAGUUUUCUUGUCUGGAGGAUUGUCUAGAUCCUAUGAAGGUUUGCCCCCUCACAAGUCGUACAAUGGCAUCUCUCUUGGACCGUUCAUUGUCGUGCUCCUUUUGUUUUCUGGACAGCUAUCUGUUGCAAUAUUAGGUCUUGCUUCUCAUAAUGUACUUGCCAUGCUAUAUAAAAUGCUUUGAUUUUGCCUUCCAUUUCUAAACCACGCUGAGUUUGUUUUAGUUACAGACACAGGAUAAUUAGGAAAUUAUUUCUAUUGCUCGUUUGUUAAUUUUAUAGACCAAUCUUGAACUUUAGUGAUAAGAGUUCCCAUAAAUGUGAUUAUGUUUAUGUUGUUUCCAAUCUACCCCUUUUAAACAUAUGAAACAAAAGCCUCAAUCCUCUAAAUGGUUGGUCCCCCUUCUCUAUUUAGAACAAUAGGAUCCUAGACACUUGGCAGAAGAUACAAGAAAAGGAAAAGACAUUCAAGGAAUACCAUGAGAAAGGCUAGCUAUCACUUCUGAAAAAAAUACUGAAAGACUAAUCGAGAGAUCAAGAUUUAUCUAUAGAAUAAAUAAUUUUGUUCACCUGAUGGAGUGAUGGCCUGACGGGUCAGAUUGAGAUUUAUCUAUAUUAUUAGAGAUAUUCUAAAUCAUUAGUACAUGUCAAUUUUAUUUGAACAAGCCUUCUUUGCUUAUGCAAGUUUUUUUACAAAGCAGUUGAAUGUUGGUGGUUCCUGUGGGCAAUUGAUUAUCCCAUUUCCGCAGUUACCUCCAUAACAAAAAGUUCAGCAAAGAAUAUUUUUGGAAUGACUCGAUUGAGCAGAUGGUACGCUGCUGAUUUUUCUAUAAUGGAUGACAUGAUAAUGAUGUAUAGGUCGACCAACUUAAGCUAUAAUGGAGAUUUACGAGAUUCCAAUAUUUUCUAGCUCCAGUUUGGAAGCUUAUACUUCAAAUGGAGAAAAUAUACUAUGUAUUUCCAUUUCUAUCUCUCAAAUGUAUUUCCAUUUCUAUCUAUCAAAUGUUGCUUUGAAUAUUAGGCUCUUUCCUUGAGGUGAGACAUUCAGCAAAUGUAGACAAUGUACUAGAUAUUUCUAUACCUAUGAUCCAAAUGUUACUUUGCACUAUGUUGGACAAUGUACUAAAUAAUUUUGUUCACCUGAUGGAGUGAUGGCACGCGGUGCAUGAUGACGAGUCCCUAGGCUGGGCGGUAGCAUGCGGUGCAUGUUGACGAGUCCUUGUGUUGGGUCGCGCGCGGGAGAAUUCGAAGUAGGGGAUGGGGGUGGCCCCAAAGAAUUAUAAAAUGGGACAGAAUGAGGGGUUGGCGAGCAAGAUUGGGGCGGGGGUCCUAUGUUGGUGGCGCGAAGACGAGGUGCAGAUAGAAAGGGGUUGUUCGCUAUGAUAAUUCAUGUGUGGUUGGUAGGGCAAAAGGAGUAGA